AAAUUGUGUCCUCUGUCAGACAUCUACAUCUGACAUCUAGUUUUGUCUCAGUACCAGACAGGGGACAAACAACCCAAAAGAAGACUGUGUCUUGUUUAAAAUCAAAUGAAUGCUCCGCCUAAGAAUACAGCAGCCGCAACUCUACUUCCCAGUUACGGUUAUAAGAAAGCGCCCAAGCCAUAUAAAUGUGGAGAGACUGAGACAGUAGACACCCUGUCAGGAAAAGGGGCAGGUGAGAGCUGCCUGCAUCAGUCAGGAAAGAGGCAACUGCCUGGCAACAUCUUGAAAGAGUCAGGAGAUUGGCAAGUGAAAGUUGCCAGAAUCUAGGAGGUCCCUGUAGGAAGUUACAUAUUUUCCUGGGGGAAGGCUGAAGGCAGGAGAGUGAUUUGCCAGCUAACGUGCCCAGGCCAGAAGGUUGGGGAGGGCUGAAGGCACAGGAGUAAUGGAGGGACUUACCCGCUGACAUCUCCAUGUUGGAGAGCUGGAGCCAGGUGAUCACUGGAAGGGCCUACUUGUUGGCCUGUCUCUGAGAUGAGACUGUAAUGGAACAGGUGAAGUGAGGCAUGGUUCUCUGGUGAGGAUGAACUCCCAGCACAGAGGCUUGCAGGGGAGCUGUGUUCCUGAUGGGAAGAGCACGGUUGCACUCCUGCAGGAAGGGCUGGAGUGGCUGCCCUGGUAAAAGGACAGGAGUGGAGUGAAGAAGAGCCUAGGUGUGGCGGAAGCUGUGGUAUUUGCUAUGUCAAUGGUCAGGAGGAUGUGGGAUUGUAAGGACUAUAUACACUGGGUGUGAGAAAUGGACUAUGUUUGCGGCUUUUGUUAUUGAUUAUUUGAACUAUAUUUUAGUAACAAACUGGCCCCAAGGAGGAUCUUAGGGAGUCAAGAAAGCAUGCAUGGAGUUACUGGUCACCCUAAAGGAGGGAAAUUGAAGCAAACAUGUUGCAGCUUGCUGGACAGCGUUCCAGAUGGGGCUUCCCUCUGACAGGUGCUUAUCACAAUAAUAUUUGUGUAUUUCACAAACAUUAAUUAGUUAAUCUUUACAACAGGGAUGAGAUGAGGGAGUAUUAUUAGUCCCCCAUCUGUAAACGGGGAUGAGGCACAGAAAGGUUAGGGACAAAAGUUUCCACUAGUUUUGAGUGCCCAAUUUGAGACACAUAGGACCUGAUUUUUUUAGAGUACAUAGCACUUUCUAUGUUCAAAGCACAGCUCCCAUUGACUUCAAUUGCAGCUGUUAGUGCUCAGCAGUUCUUCAAAUCAGAGCCCAGGGUCUCAAGUCAGGCACCCAGAGAAUAAGGAACAUGUAAUUAGUGACCACCUGUGAAAAGUUUGGUUUAAGUGACUAGCCCAGGAUCACAUAGGAACUUUGUGGUAGAGGCAAGGAAAGAAUCCAGUUCUCCAGGGCAGCGUUCACCUGCCUUAACCAUGAGACCUUCCUUUCUCUUCCUGUCAUCCCCUGCCUCAUUCAUGACACACCUUCCAGCUUCUGCACAGAUGAAGCAGGAGUCCUACUGACAACAGUCUCCUUCACUAUACAAAAGAGAUUCAUUCACAGAGCAUGCCCAGCCAGUGCACUGAAGGAAUCCUGUGGGUGGAUGGAGAAUGCUCAGUUGCUCUGUGGGGAUGACACAGGAGCAGUCUGAUCGCAGGAAACGAGGCAUGAAAAUCAGCACCAUGUAACCAGCCAGUUGUCUAUAGACCAUAAGCAAGUGAUCAGCAGACCACCACAGUAGUUCACAGGCCCCUGUUUGGAAAACCUCUGGUUUAGAGCAUAAAUGACUCCAACAUUUGUUUGUCAGUGGAAUUUUGCAGAGUUGUGAAUAUGCUAGAUAUGAUGUAAUCGUAAAGAUAAAGUGUCCCCUGUUAAGGAAAAGUUAGCACAUGUGACUCCAUUUUGGUUUGGGGCCCACCAUUGUCCAAAAACAAGCACAUCAUGCACCAGAAGGCGUGUUCCUUAGAUACUGCAUUCCUGUGAAAAUCCUCCUCCUUGUCUCCAGCCUGCCUUGACUCCCAGUAUCUGUUUUUUUGGUCAGUCCCUAACUCCCUAUCUCCUGGCCUUUGAUGUGAGGCCUCCCAUCCUGAUAAUAAAAGUUACUGAUGCAUGGCUUUAGGACCAUGCUAUGUAAUUAACAUACUGGUUUAGCACGAGGAAUGCACCAAGCAGGGAUAGGUGGUAGAUAAGAAAAGGGUUUGUUUAUUGGCUAAGGUUUCCGAUGCACGAGGGCAACAUGCUUUGCUAAGGGCAACAUGCUUUGCUAAAAAGUAUAUAACCUUUGUAUAAUCUGUAUUCGGGGUCCCCUCCUGGCUAGCAGGGGGGCACCACGCUCAAGCGUAAUAAACUUAAUGUUUUUUGGGAA